AUCCCUCCUUCAGCUUCUUCUGUCUUGGUGGAUGGCACCACCAUCCAUGCACCUACAUGGAUAAGCCAAACCCUAGAGUCACCCUUGACAUCCCUCUCUCCAUCACCCUUUCUAAACUAAUCAAUUGCCAAGGCUUACUGAUUUGUUUUCUAAAUAUCCCUAGAGUCCAUCUUUCUCCAUUUCUAAUACCACUAUCCUUUGCUCAGGCUGCUAUUUUUGCCUGUGUUCCUGCAGUACAUCCUGUCUGGUUUCUUUACAUCCAUUCUCACCCACUUCUAUCACAGCCUUUGCACUAUAGACAGUGAUCAUUUUAACAAUGCAUAUAUAUCUUAUCAUUAUCUUGUUUAAAGCUGUCCAGUUGCUACCCGUUAUCCUCAUGAUAGCUAUCAAAGUCUUAAACGUGGCCUAUAGGACCUGCAUGAUCCAGCCUCUUCCUAACUGCCAUCCCAUUCUAUAACCCAUUCUGUCCUUGCCCCCUGCACCCUGGUAACACCCGCUUACUUCAGUUCCUUCUCAGCUCUAAGCUCCUCUGAUGCAGGGCCUUUGCCUGUGCUGCCCUCUGUUCUAGGUAGCUCUUAACCACAUUCUUUGCCUAUUUGAGUUUGAUUCGUUCCUCCUAUCUAAGCUCAAGUGUCUCUUUCUUGGAGAAGCUUUUUUCACUCAUAAAGACUAUAACAGAUCUUUGAUUGUCCUCUCUUCACAACAUACUUUUCCUUUUUGGCCCUCAACACAGGUUUUAUUGUUAUGUGAUUGCCCAGGAAGGAAAUCCAUGAAGGAAUUGGCUAUAGGGGUGCUGGGCAUGUGGGAAACAAUUGGUGGAAGCCACUGCCAUCCCUGGCACUGGAAGGGAUGAAGGGGAGAGGUGGCGUCAUCAGAAACCGAGAGCUGGAGAAAGCCUCAUGGGUGAUGGGAGGAGAAGUAGUGAUGGGGAAAAACAUCCCUUGGCUUUUCCCUUCCUCCUCCCCUCCAAUCUCCUGCCAGAGUCUUCUGCUGACUGAACCUACCAGAAAGACAGAAGGAAAAGGAAAUAUAGCAGAGCAGGGGAGGAGCAGAAAACAGCUCUGAGAACAAACAAGCAUAGGCUCAUGACUGCAGUUUACGUAUUUGUUUAUGUGGUUAUUUGUACACCAUCUGUCUCCCAUACCAGACUGCACCAGGGCUGUGUUAAUGUUACUGGCCACUGAUUCCUCAGUGCUUUUUACAGGGAUUAAUAUUGAUCCUUAAUAUUUGUUGAAUUGAUGAGUCAAUGAGAGAUCUCUAAGAAUGGAAAAAUAGGUAUGUAUUAAAGGUCUAGUGGGCACUAUCUUGAGAAGGAACAUAUUUUCUCCCUCUACCUCUCCCUAUCCCCUUUCUUUUCCAGAGGUUUCUAGUUAGAACUUCCCAUCCACAGUUUUGUUGUUGGCGAAAUGACAAAAGUAUGAAAUUGUGAUGCUAGUUGUCCAUAUUCACACACACACACACACACACACACACACACACACACACAGAGUUUCUUUCUCUUCCCUUAGUCACAAGGGCAGGGCCCUGCGGAAGGUCUUUUGUAGUUUGCAGAACCUGUUUGUGACACCGAAGAAUCUGUGGGAAACCAGAUGCCAGCCUCUUGUUUUCCAAGGGGAAUAUUAAAUAGCGGCUAUCAGUCACUCCUCUGACUUUGAACAAAAUUGUUUAAAAAUCAAAGUGUUUAUGUCCAUAACCAUGUCACCAAAUGAUCAAACCAGGUUAUUUGCAAAUGUGUGUGUUUAUUU
rnacentral:lncRNA from 10 species